rnacentral:rRNA from 1 species
AAGCGCUCGUGACCAGACCUGUGCCUGGCGGAUCAUCCAGCGUUCUCGCUGGUGCACUCCGCCUGGCCCAGGCCAGCAUCGGUUUCUCCGGGGGGAUAAAAGCUCUGGGAAUGUAGCUCUCUAGGGAGUGUUAUAGCCCUCUGCGUAAUACCCUCAGAGGGACCGAGGACCGCGCUCACGCAAGGAUGCUGGCGUAAUGGUUACCAGCG